rnacentral:rRNA from 1 species
UAGGGAAUAUUGGACAAUGGGGGCAACCCUGAUCCAGCCAUGCCGCGUGAGUGAAGAAGGCCCUCGGGUUGUAAAGCUCUUUUGUCCGGAAAGAAAAGCAUUCGGUGAAUACCCGGAUGUUCUGACGGUACCGGAAGAAUAAGCACCGGCUAACUUCGUGCCAGCAGCCGCGGUAAUACGAAGGGUGCAAGCGUUACUAGGAAUUACUGGGCGUAAAGCGUGCGUAGGUGGUUGUUUAAGUCUGAUGUGAAAGCCCUGGGCUCAACCUGGGAAUGGCAUUGGAAACUGGGCAGCUAGAGUGCGGUAGAGGGUAGUGGAAUUCCCGGUGUAGCAGUGAAAUGCGUAGAGAUCGGGAGGAACAUCUGUGGCGAAGGCGACUGCCUGGACUAGCACUGACACUGAGGCACGAAAGCGUGGGGAGCAAACA